GAUGAACGCUGGCGGCGUGCCUAAUACAUGCAAGUCGAGCGAACAGACGAGGAGCUUGCUCCUCUGACGUUAGCGGCGGACGGGUGAGUAACACGUGGAUAACCUACCUAUAAGACUGGGAUAACUUCGGGAAACCGGAGCUAAUACCGGAUAAUAUAUUGAACCGCAUGGUUCAAUAGUGAAAGACGGUUUUGCUGUCACUUAUAGAUGGAUCCGCGCCGCAUUAGCUAGUUGGUAAGGUAACGGCUUACCAAGGCAACGAUGCGUAGCCGACCUGAGAGGCUGAUAGGCCACCUUGGAACUGAGACACGGUCAAGACUCCUACGGGAGGCAGCAGUAGGGAAUCUUCCGCAAUGGGCGAGAGCCUGACGGAGCAACGCCGCGUGAGUGAUGACGGUCUUCGGAUCGUAAAACUCUGUUAUUAGGGAAGAACAAAUGUGUAAGUAACUAUGCACGUCUUGACGGUACCUAAUCAGAAAGCCACGGCUAACUACGUG
rnacentral:rRNA from 1 species